GACGAACGCUGGCGGCGUGCUUAACACAUGCAAGUCGAACGAAGUGGCGAACGGGUGAGUAACGCGUAAUCAACCUGCCCUUCAGAGGGGGACAACAGUUGGAAACGACUGCUAAUACCGCAUACUGAAGGAGGGGAUUGCGUCUGAUUAGCUAGUUGGAGGGGUAACGGCCCACCAAGGCGAUGAUCAGUAGCCGGUCUGAGAUGAUGAACGGCCACAUCUGGACUGCGACACGGACCAGACACCGACGGGUGGCAGCAGUGGGGAAUCUUCCGGAAUGGACGAAAGUCUGACGGAGCAACGCCGCGGGAGUGAUGACGUCCUUCGAGUUGUAAAGCUCUGUUAAUCGGGACGCGGUACCGGAAUAGAAAGCCAUGGAUAACUACGUGCCAGACGCCGCGGUAAUAC
rnacentral:rRNA from 1 species